rnacentral:rRNA from 1 species
GGGCGUGUUUGGGAUGGGAAAGAUCGCGAGGGUUUAGCUACGUCGGCGGAGGGGAGAGGGAGGGAAGGAGGGGUUUACGCGGCCGGCGGAGGAGAGGUGGACAGCGGAGGGGAGAGGGAGGGAAGGAGGGGUUUGUGCGACCGGCGGAGGAGAGGAGGACGGUAUGGCGCAGGGACGACGGGGGUACCGGAGAAGUCCUCCGUGUGGGGAGGUACCACGCUUCGUCGUCUGGUGCUAGACCUACUCCUUCUCCUCUAGGCCCGCGGGGUUGCCACCUAGCUAGCUACGCUCCACUGCUGCUCGAGGAAACCUGCACCCCCUCGUCGCUCCGGCCUCUAGGUCAGCCGCGUACGCCCAGGUUCGACGUCGCGAGGCCAGGGGUUCGGCGGAGGUCCGAGCGAAGGAGGUAGGAGGGCGUAGCUAGCGUGGGGAGGAGGGCGUAGAGUGGGUAGAGCUACCUAACGUACGCCUGUGUCUCCGCUCCAAGAGGCCGCCGCCGCCCUUUGAGGUCCAUCUCUCGCUGGGGUACCUAGGCAGGGACAUCCUCUCUUCCUUCCUCUCCUCUGUCCGGUACCUCUACCCUACUCACGCGCUGGGGUCCUAAAACGCGACAGUAGAAGAAAACGGCCAGCCCCGGGACCUUCUCGCUGUGGUCGGUCCGUAACAUACCCUACCUAGAUAGUACGACCCUAAUCAACAUUUGAAGGAACGACUUGGGAUGUCCCUCGUUACGUAGGGGUCAAACGAAGGUCUCUUCCUUCCCCUUCUCCCAAAAUAACAACGACGAUAAGGAGUACCUAUAAGUUCUCCGUUGAACCGUGGAUUACAGUCGUUGCACGAAUAGCCACUGCUCCCUUUACUUUCUUCCGACAUUACCUUAAACAUGAUCUAGUCUAAAACCGGUAUAUCAAAGGUCACAGACCUUCAGAUUUUGACUCCUAUCCCGUCUAACAAAACUAAGGUUAAUGAACCUCUAGAACACCGAACGACAGGGACCUAGUCAGUCUGGAUGCCGUCGUAGUUGAGCAACUAGGAUCUCCGGUACCAAGAGCUCCACUCAACUCAACGACGAACCAACCUCUACAACUACAGCAAGCUCUGCGGGCGACCUAAGUGGGAAGAGUUCCAAGACUUAUUCCCUUUCGAGCUGUUCCUGCUCACCAUGUCCAUACUAGAAGUACCUCGAUCGGUAGUAACCUAAACCAUUAUGUAUUAGUGAACAAGUCUCUCGGGUUCCACUCUUCCCUGCUCGUAGAUCUUGUGGUGGUGGAUGAUUAGUCUCAAAGGAUGGAAAGAAGACGUUUAGACCUUACGGAAAUACCGUACUAGUACACUUUUUCAUGGAACUACGUCAUUACCUAAACUAAUUGUGACCAAUGAGACAAAAGUGCUUAAUGAUAGGUUGACGUUCAGACAAGAUAUGGGAUUCCGGGUACAUUUAGACUAUCUUCUAAUUCGAUAAAUUAAAAUUAAUUUUUCCUAUUAUAAGAAAGUCAACGAACUUAGACAGGUCUGGACUUUUUAUGAAUAUGAAACUUUCGAACUAUAUACUCAUACAUUAAAAUGUCCAUACAUUUAUCGGCUGUUACAAUAACAAGUUUACAUGAGCUCGGUCCAAAAGCCACAAAGUAACGUUGGUUUUCUUAAUCAUUAUAAAAAAACUACUUUUGUACCAUUGUGAACAGCCACAACAUAUUAUCCUAAAAAUUAAUCACCGUAUCCUUAAAAAAGGGAUUCUAGGUGAUACUUCAACUAACUUUCAGGUAAAAGGGAUUCUAGGUGAUACUGUUGCUUUUUCUAAAGACUUUUGACACAAUGGUAUUUACAGGUAGUAACAGGUAUCGUCAGGGUUCGCCUUUUUUUUAGGAUGUACUGGCUCAACAUACCUGGGCUAGCACUCUGGGUGAGGUCGCGAGCGGUUGACAGGCAGGCUUAGAAUUACGUUGUCCGCAGAGGAAGGGGCGAAGGGACAAAGUGAGGAAUAGAGGAGGUUGUGUGGGUUUUAGGUCAGCGACCAGUACGGUAAGAACGGUGGCGAACUGCCGUGCCGCGCGGGCGUGGUGAAAGGGGACCCUCGGAACGGCGGUUACCACGGCCCGCGCCACCAGCGGGGGCGGAGUAGGGGGAAGGGACAAACGUUUAGAUCUAACUUUGAGUUUGGUAAAUAAGACGAUCUAUACGAACAUGACUUUAAUAAUAGAAUAUGUAACUGUCUCCUACCUUCUUGGUUUUCCAUCAACUAGUCGUCCUACCGUUCUCCUUCUGUUCUCGGUUUAAUUUCAAACAAAGACACGUACAGACAUAGAUAGUUCUAAGUCACGAUACAUCUUUACAGGGACUCUAAACAAAGGGAGUUGCUCUGGUUUGUUAGUCCUUGUGUUCAUCCUAUCAACUACGAAAAAAGUAAAAAGAAGACUAUUUUUCCUUAGAAGUAGACGGUUCUUAUGCCGGAUGUUCGUACAUACGGAUUAAUGGAUAUACAACUAAAUUGCUUGAGUGUAUGUACAGGUAAAGACUUUUAUCAAAUGGGUAGGAGUUUGUAUAUUGAACACACAACAACGAAAGGUAAUAUAACUCUUUUUGUAUUCAAGGUAACCUGGAAAAUAAGUAAGUCCUCGAGAUUUACUGUGGCAACAUAACCGUUGUAUAAGUCAGUAAAGCCUAGUAGAAAGUCUCAGUAAGAUCUGAUAAGUACUGUUUAACAACCACACACGACAUUUUUUGAUUUUUUUUCCGUCAAGUACAAAUAAAAAGAAGACUUAAAACAAGGGGAUAUUCUACACCGGAUGACAUAUGAGAACCCUAUUUACUCAACACUGCAAACAACAACAGGUGAUAAAAGAAACGUCAAAGGGACCAUACAACAGUUGUUAAACCGCACUUGUAAGGUCCGAACAGUCUCUGUUUAAGUAUUCCAAACUGUUAUGUACAACCGGUUAACAGUCCAUUGUUUCGUUCGUAUAUCAAUGUCUUGUUUUUAUAUAUCAGUAAAAAUAAAAGGUUGUUCAUUUACCGUCGCUGUCUCACCGUGGGUCGGUUGUUUCCUAAACUCCGGCUAGUUAUGGGAAUACGGUUAUAUGUACCAAGUCAAGACCUGGUGUUGUCAAGUGUAAAAACAAUGACUUUUGGGAGUCCCGGAGUGGAUAGGUACUACCAACUUUCUUCACCAUCUCCUUCUAUGGUGUGUCCGACAAUGUUUUGAAUAGCGACCUGGAUAUGUAGUGUGUAACUAGAAGUGUAGGUACGGGAGCUGUUAUUUCCCCUAGUUAGCGCACUACCUACCCGAUCUCAAACAAACGUACCAGCUGAUGCGUCGCAGUGAUCCUACGGGCUACCUAUCGGCAACACGGUCGAGGCUCCACGGUACAUCAAGCAGCGGUACCGACUGAAGUGCGCACUGCCUCGUCUACCUACCCAUCGGGCACCACCAUGUAGUCCCUGCUGCACGGCGUGCCGGCGGCGGCACGGCAGUCCGCCACCGCUCUUACUGUACUGGUCGCCGACCUAAAACCCCCGCAACCUCCUCUAUUCCUCACUUUA